GGAAGUAUGACGGAACAGGUAGACGUGAUAGUUUUAGAAACUAUUUCUGUAAACAGAGUAAGGGUUCAAGUCCCUUUAUUUCCA
rnacentral:tRNA from 1 species